rnacentral:rRNA from 1 species
CGUGAGACAGGUGCUGCAUGGCUGUCGUCAGCUCGUGUUGUGAAAUGUUGGGUUAAGUCCCGCAACGAGCGCAACCCUUAUCCUUUGUUGCCAGCGGUCCGGCCGGGAACUCAAAGGAGACUGCCAGUGAUAAACUGGAGGAAGGUGGGGAUGACGUCAAGUCAUCAUGGCCCUUACGACCAGGGCUACACACGUGCUACAAUGGCGCAUACAAAGAGAAGCGACCUCGCGAGAGCAAGCGGACCUCAUAAAGUGCGUCGUAGUCCGGAUUGGAGUCUGCAACUCGACUCCAUGAAGUCGGAAUCGCUAGUAAUCGUGGAUCAGAAUGCCACGGUGAAUACGUUCCCGGGCCUUGUACACACCGCCCGUCACACCAUGGGAGUGGGUUGCAAAAGAAGUAGGUAGCUUAACCUUCGGGAGGGCGCUUACCACUUUGUGAUUCAUGACUGGGGUGAAGUCGUAACAAGGUAACCGUAGGGGAACCUGCGGUUGGA